rnacentral:rRNA from 1 species
UACGAAGGGGGCUAGCGUUGCUCGGAAUCACUGGGCGUAAAGGGUGCGUAGGCGGGUCUUUUAAGUCAGGGGUGAAAUCCUGGAGCUCAACUCCAGAACUGCCUUUGAUACUGAAGAUCUUGAGUUCGGGAGAGGUGAGUGGAACUGCGAGUGUAGAGGUGAAAAUUCGUAGAUUAUUCGCAAGAACACCAGUGGCGAAGGCGGCUCACUGGCCCGAUACUGACGCUGAUGCACGAAAAGCGUGGGGGGAGCAAAACAGGG